rnacentral:rRNA from 1 species
ACGGGUGAGUAACACGUGGGUGAUCUGCCCUGCACUUCGGGAUAAGCUUGGGAAACUGGGUCUAAUACCGGAUAGGACCAUGGUUUAGCAUCUCAUGGUGGAAAAAUAUUGUUUUGGUGUAGGAUGAGCCCGCGGCCUAUCAGCUUGUUGGUGGGGUAAUGGCCUACCAAGGCGUCGACGGGUAGCCGGCCUGAGAGGGUGGACGGCCACAUUGGGACUGAGAUACGGCCCAGACUCCUACGGGAGGCAGCAGUGGGGAAUAUUGCACAAUGGGCGCAAGCCUGAUGCAGCGACGCCGCGUGGGGGAUGACGGCCUUCGGGUUGUAAACUCCUUUCGUUAGGGACGAAGCCGCACUUUUUUGGGUGUGGUGACGGUACCUUUGUUAAGAAGCACCGGCUAACUACGUGCCAGCAGCCGCGGUAAUACGUAGGUGGCAAGCGUUGUCCGGAUUUAUUGGGCGUAAAGCGAGCGCAGGCGGUUAGAUAAGUCUGAAGUUAAAGGCUGUGGCUUAACCAUAGUACGCUUUGGAAACUGUUUAACUUGAGUGCAAGAGGGGAGAGUGGAAUUCCAUGUGUAGCGGUGAAAUGCGUAGAUAUAUGGAGGAACACCGGUGGCGAAAGCGGCUCUCUGGCUUGUAACUGACGCUGAGGCUCGAAAGCGUGGGGAGCAAACAGGAUUAGAUACCCUGGUAGUCCACGCCGUAAACG